rnacentral:lncRNA from 1 species
GUUCUCAGCGCCUCCCGCCGCGCAGGCUCGGCGUUGGCCUCCGCGGCCCGUGCGAGUGCGCCCUUCUCGGGUCCCCUAGGUCGCGGGGCAGCCGGGGCGGAAGGGGCUUGUUCAUUAUUUUGAGAGUUUGUUGUGAACGUCAUAACCUUUCGUCCUUAAAUAUUGCCGAUACUUGACCUACGCAAGAGACAAUGUCAUGUGAUUCAGCCUAAUAUCUCAGAGGAUGCAGCAUUCAAGGUUCUAUCUUGGAAGCAGAGACUGUGCCCUCACCAGAUGCUGAACCUGCUGAGCACCCUGAUCUUCCACUUCACCUUCAUCAGAACUGGACGCGCAUGAAAUUUGGUGCCGUGACUCGGAUCGGCGGACCUCCCUUAGGAGAUCAAUCCCCUGUCCUCCUGCUCUUUGCUCCAUGAGAAAGAUCCACCUACGACCUAAGGUCCUCAGACCAACCAGCCCAAGAAACAUCUCACCAAUUUCAAAUCCGAAAUCCUUCAUCUAAUCUGGCAAACACAUGUGGCAGGUUUUUCUCACCGCAUAAAAUAUGUUAUAGAGUAGUCCAUCUAUUUCUCUUCCAUGGAAGAGUUCAUCUGGUAGAUUGGACUACCACUUUUCCUUGUCCCGAGUUCUCAUCCCGCAUCCAGGAAGAAUGAGGUUAUGUGGACACCUGGAGGGUGAGCGAGGCUGAGAAAAGCUUUAUUGGGCAACCAGACAGCUCUCAGAAGAGAGGUGACCUGAAGCAGCCAUAAUUUUAGCUUGUCUAAACUGCUUACCUGGUGUGAUGACCAAGAGCUUAAUCUCUGAAAGGAUGAGAGACGUUGAGCUCCAAACUCAGACUAAGAAACUAUAAGAAAUAUGCUUCAAUGAAGAAGCUGUUCAAAAAUGAGUAAGAUUGUUUCCUUGAGGCAAGAAAGAAAUGCAGAAGUCUUGACAAACAAAAGAAGAGAUUGCCUUAGGGAAGGGGACUACAGUGAACACUGAGAACUUCUUCCCACGCUAAGACAAUCUUUACAGAGCAAGACUCCGUCUCAAAAAAAAAAAAAAAAGUAAGCAUAAGAA